rnacentral:rRNA from 1 species
GACAGAGGUGCCAAGCGUUAGGCGGAAUCACUGGGCUUAAAGCGUGUGUAGGCGGAUCGUUAAGUACCUUGUGAAAUCCCACGGCUCAACCGUGGAACUGCUGGGUAUACUGGCGGUCUUGAGCCACCUAGGGGCAACUGGAACAAGCGGUGGAGCGGUGAAAUGCGUAGAUAUCGAGAGGAACACCUGCGGCGAAGGCGGGUUGCUGGGCUGACACUGACGCUGAUGCGCGAAAGCCAGGGGAGCGAACGGG